AAAGCAAGAAGCUCAGCACAUGCCCCACAACUGACUUGUGACAUCUGUUAUUCCUGUCUUCUACUGUAUCUGAACAGAGUUGUCUCACAGAGGUCUAUAGGUAACUCC